ACCAACUACCGGUAAUCUUGUUUUAUCGUUAAAACGUUUCUUUAUUCGACACUAUGAGUUUAGCAGUAAACAGUUGUGCAUAUUUAUACGGGAGACUCGGCAUGAAUGCGUUAACAUUGGUAAAGGUAGUUAAAGACAUUCGGAGUUUAAAGAAAAUAUAACAUACUGUAAAGUCCGAUAAAUGGAUACAAUUAAAGGAAUUGUCAAUGGUGAAUCACUGGAAACCCGAAUCCGGAACAUCGAGGCUGAUAUUGCAUCUAUGAAAACAACAAUGAAUGAAAUAUUGCGGCUAGUGAGUCAUAAAACAAGGGUGAACCAGAGACGAUGCCUUUCACCGUCGAAGGCAGGACGUUCGACAUCUCGUUUCGAUCUUUCAAAGCAAGUCCACUUGCAAGAAGCACUGCGAAGGAACCUGAGCUUGUUUGUGAACGACUUGUGCCUCGACGACUGGCAAAUUCUGGACCGUCUACACGCAUGCGAUUGCAUUAACUCCGAAGAGCUUCAGGUCAUCAGUUCAAAGAGAAACAGCAAUGACAAAGUGCGAGCGCUUGUGUUAAAAUUGAAAAACAAAUCGCCCCGUGUAAUCAAUACAUUUCUACAAAUUCUGGCCGAGGACAAGGUUUACGAGGUUUUAUUAGGCAAGUUCAACGAUUCUUUAGUAAACAUCGAGAAAGAAAAACGAAACAGGAGUAAAUGUGCCAUAUGCGUGAUGAAAGAAAAUGUUGACAUUAAAGAUAUUGCAGAUUCAUUGUGGGAAGAAACACUUAUUUCUGACAACAUAAUCGAACGACUAGUUAUAAAUGAAGAUAGUUCGCAAACACUGAGAAAUUCGUUUUGGGAAUACGUGGCAGAGAUGUUAAAAGAAUCGGAAGAAAAUAUGCUGAAAGUUAUAGCGGCAUUGACACAAAACUAUGACUAUUUGGUUCCGUUUCUUAAAGACGACAAGGGGAAUAUGCUGUCAUUAGACUGUUGCUAUUGUAGACACCAGCGUAUAAAUUUGCACCCGAGACCAAAAAAACUUAUUUAGUUCCAUCAGCGAUGAAAGCAACACUUCGGAGCGCGGAGGAAGGGAUAAUAGUGGUAGUUUUGCUUCAGUCCAGUCAUCAUUAUGCAUGGCUUGUUCGUCGGUGAUGAACCACGAUGAUGAAGUUACUAGAAGAAACACGAACGUAUCGUCGAAACGGCGACUUAAACAUCGAAAUAACAGAAUUGAGAAAAUAAAUGAACAAUUACUCGAAACGCCAUUUUCAGAAGCUGCGGCCAUGAAAUUCUCAGAGGAUAGCACCAUUUUCGACAACACGCAAGACACGGAUAAACUUGACGAGACUUAUUGCAAACAGGUGGAUUCAGACACCGAAACUUUGCAUGGAGCACGAUCUGAGAGUACUAGCAGCGGACAAUUCGAUGUGUUUCAACUUACAACUCCUCGUCCGGAUGAUCGUACCAAAUGCAAACAUUGCCGUCCUCGUAAUGACACGAUUUAAAUCAAUACUCAGCCUAAAUGAUCUUCCACGGUAGAGGUGAACAUUUCCAAACUAGCCCAUGUGCAAGAGGCAUUGAGACAAAUUUUCAGAAUGUUUCAAGAUGUAUAUCAGGACGAUUGACAUAUUAAAAGUUGUCUGUACGAAAUUGAUUGCAUCUGUUUGAGGAUUGUUUGAUACACACAAAUAAUCAGCUAUUCCGCGUUCUUUAAAAAAAGGAACGUGGCGCCUUAUUUAAUUAACAUAUUGUUUAUGUCGUACAAGAAGACCAAGCAUAGUGGGAGUUAUACUACGUAUUUAACGUAUCGUUAUGGCAAAUUAUAAACGAAAAUACAAACAGAACGAAAUGUGUAGCCAGUUUAUUGAAAGCAACCUUUCGUAUAAAGGCUAUAGCUGACGCCCUGUGGGGUGAAAAAAAAAUACUGACGAAAUAUAUUCGAAUAUUUGUUCGAUCAUGAGAAUUUGUAUACACUUAAAACAUUAGUUUUUACCGAACAUUGUAAACAGCAUAUGAGAUUCAGAAAAAAGGCAAUAACUAAUAAUUAAAUCCCUGCAACCAAAUUAUGCUUAUUUAUAUCCAGGUCUCAAAGACAAACAAGGCAGAUUAAUGUCAUUGGAAUGUUGCUAUUGUCGAUUUCAGCGUCCGCAAUUUCGCGAAAGGAAGCCUGAUUUAUACGGCUCUCUAAGCGACAUGAUCACGACCACCGAAUAUGCGGAAAUCUCAGAAAGAGAUUCUUGUCAAUCGUCGGUGAUUCGUUGCUUCCACAAAGAUAAUUUAGUACACAGAUUUAAAUUCAGCUCCGCCAACAUUUCAUUGAAACAAAGAAGAUUUAAAAAUACAGCUGGCAAACUCAUUUUAAGGAAAGUGUCUAUGGCGGACAUAGCCAAAAUGUCUGCAGAAAAUGAUCUACGUAAUUGCAAUUCAGACGAACAUAGAAAUACUGAUGGGGAAAUAGUUGCUAGAUCCGUAAUGGAAAUAGUUUUAAAAGGCAAAGUGUUCUCUACGUUUUAACAUGUCUAACAAUAUAGUACGUACAUAUAUGUGUAAACAAUCUCACUGGGGGAUAAAGAAAGAUCAACCUAAGUCAUUUUCAGACGCUGCAACACAAACUGACGUAAUUGAGCGUGCAUGUCGCAUGCAAAGUACAAGUAAAUCCUAUGGUAGAUAAACGUGAAAAAUUUCAAGAGGGUACUGCUCGUAUGCAUGACACAGGAGUUUCUGGAACCUCGACUGCCUUUGGCGAUAACUCUGUCACAUAAAGUAAUACGGAAACCAUAAAUCUGCCUCAACUGUGUUCAACAGAUACAAGUCACAUCUAUUAAAAGUUCAAUAACUAUGCACCUGUAAGCAGACCAGCCGGCUUGCAAGCAGGCAUCAAUUGCAUUAUUUUUAUAGAGAAUGGUUGGUUAAAACACAUACUCGAUCUCAGUGCAAAACAGUCUUUAGGUUAUCAAAGUUGGGGUGGGUUGGACCUUUCCGACAAAGAGAUGGAAACGUCUUCUAUAACAUUAAUAAAAUCUACAGUACGUUUUCUUUGAAUAAGAUUAGAGCUUAGCUGUGAAAUGUGUUUGCAGACACAUUUUAUUUAUGUUUUAUUGAACGUAUUAGAAUAUUUGAUACCAAUGACAUUUUAAUCAUAGUGCAAACGGUUGAAAU